rnacentral:ncRNA from 1 species
AUAAGGGAAUGAUGUUCUCCCACGGCGUAUGCCGAAACCGCCUUUAAGCUGAUGACUUCUGUUU